rnacentral:rRNA from 1 species
GAUGAACGCUGGCGGCGUGCCUAAUACAUGCAAGUCGAGCGAACAGGCGAGGAGCUUGCUCCUUUGACGUUAGCGGCGGACGGGUGAGUAACACGUGGGUAACCUACCUAUAAGACUGGGAUAACUUCGGGAAACCGGAGCUAAUACCGGAUAAUAUUUCGAACCGCAUGGUUCGAUAGUGAAAGAUGGCUCUGCUAUCACUUAUAGAUGGACCUGCGCCGUAUUAGCUAGUUGGUAAGGUAACGGCUUACCAAGGCAACGAUACGUAGCCGACCUGGGAGGGUGAACGGCCACACUGGAACUGAGACACGGUCCAGACUCCUACGGGAGGCAGCAGUAGGGAAUCUUCCGCAAUGGGCGAAAGCCUGACGGAGCAACGCCGCGUGAGUGAUGAAGGUCUUCGGAUCGUAAAACUCUGUUAUUAGGGAAGAACAAACGUGUAAGUAACUGUGCACGUCUUGACGGUACCUAAUCAGAAAGCCACGGCUAACUACGUGCCAGCCGCCGCGGUAACAC